rnacentral:lncRNA from 1 species
GAGGAAACGAAAGCGAGAUGCAAAUUGUGGGAGGUGAAAGAGGCAAAACAUGCCUGAGGCCUUCCUCUUACAGCGGCUUUACCUCUUCUUAUCCCCCCCAGGAGGACGCUGGAGCUGGUGGGCAGGGGCAGCUCUGGGUCACGGCAAAUGCUGAGUUCCCGAUUUCCCACUGACGUCUCUUCAUUUCACCUGGAUGCACCAGCAAACAGCACCGUCCGAGACAGGAGAUGAAUGCCAUCCUCUGUGAGUCUCUGCUCCUGGCUAUAACCACCACACAACAGUGCUUUUGUUAGGGCACUUCUACCUACCAAAGCUUGGUGGUGGGGAAAAAUGUUACCGUGCUGGUCAAGUAGGAGGCUUCUUCACCUUUAAUCAGCUCUACCUGAUGCCACCUGUUGGCUCUUUGGCUCCUAAAAUGGGGUGGGCUGCUCAGGAGGUGUGAGAUACUGUCAUCAGUGACACUGCCUGUGUCAGAUCCUAUCAUCUUGCUCAGCUGGCUGCUGCACCUGGUGCCUGAUUUAAUGCUGAUGGGAAGGAAGAAGAGAUGCCUCAUUACUGCGUGAGCUGCAGCAUCCUCUAUGUGGCCAGAUGGCAUGUUGUGAGCUGACUGGCUGAAGGUCCAGACCCUGUAUCCGAUCCUGACCUGGGGUUUGGCUGAGCUCAUGUGUCGAUGCACAGCAUGCAUGAAGAGGCUGCGUUUCCUGCUGGAGGCCUUUCUUCAGCUCCACAGCAGCGAUGAGUAACAUUAGCAAACCAAGGAGCGUGACCACGAAAGAGACACUGGCCUGAAUUAUAAGCUACUGCAAAGAUGCCUUUAUGUUCCCAUCUGGAAGAUGUUUCUUGAGACAAAGCAGCUUCAGUGUGAUCAAAUCAAAAAGCAGUGUUUAGCAUUUGUAAUGCUCCCUCAGCUGUGAAUCCAGUGAUGAGCUGCAUUGUCCUCGGACGUGUGGACA